CCUAACGGGAGGCAGCAGUGGGGAAUAUUGGACAAUGGGGGCAACCCUGAUCCAGCCAUGCCGCGUGUGUGAAGAAGGCCCUCGGGUUGUAAAGCACUUUCAGUGAGGAAGAACGCCUGGUGGUUAAUACCCAUCAGGAAAGACAUCACUCACAGAAGAAGCACCGGCUAACUCCGUGCCAGCAGCCGCGGUAAUACGGAGGGUGCGAGCGUUAAUCGGAAUUACUGGGCGUAAAGCGCGCGUAGGUGGCUUGAUAAGCCGGUUGUGAAAGCCCCGGGCUCAACCUGGGAACGGCAUCCGGAACUGUCAAGCUAGAGUGCAGGAGAGGAAGGUAGAAUUCCCGGUGUAGCGGUGAAAUGCGUAGAGAUCGGGAGGAAUACCAGUGGCGAAGGCGGCCUUCUGGACUGACACUGACACUGAGGUGCGAAAGCGUGGGUAGCAAACAGGAUUAGAUACCCUAGUAGUC
rnacentral:rRNA from 1 species